rnacentral:rRNA from 1 species
CAAGCGGUGGAGCAUGUGGUUUAAUUCGAUGCAACGCGAAGAACCUUACCUACUCUUGACAUCCAGCGAACUUAGCAGAGAUGCUUUGGUGCCUUCGGGAACGCUGAGACAGGUGCUGCAUGGCUGUCGUCAGCUCGUGUUGUGAAAUGUUGGGUUAAGUCCCGCAACGAGCGCAACCCUUAUCCUUUGUUGCCAGCGAUUCGGUCGGGAACUCAAAGGAGACUGCCGGUGAUAAACCGGAGGAAGGUGGGGAUGACGUCAAGUCAUCAUGGCCCUUACGAGUAGGGCUACACACGUGCUACAAUGGCGCAUACAAAGAGAAGCGACCUCGCGAGAGCAAGCGGACCUCAGAAAGUGCGUCGUAGUCCGGAUCGGAGUCUGCAACUCGACUCCGUGAAGUCGGAAUCGCUAGUAAUCGUGGAUCAGAAUGCCACGGUGAAUACGUUCCCGGGCCUUGUACACACC